rnacentral:snoRNA from 1 species
AAGCCAACAAUUAAUCUGCUUAUCUGAACAUGUUUCUGCAAAAAUUUAGAAAGAGCUGGCAAUAGCGUUGUCAAGUAAUGAGCCUUAAGGACAUGUGACUGUCCUUAAGAGCCCUAAAAACAGCCACGAUA